rnacentral:rRNA from 1 species
GGGAAAGUUGCAAAGCACUUUGAAGAGAGAGUUAAAGAGGACGUGAAACCGAUAAGGUGGAAACGGAUAGAGCCGACGUAUCAGACCUGUGUUCAGCUGGUUGGCAUUUUGACCUCAGCCGGUUUGUCCUGCUUUUGGCAGACCGGUUGUUGUUCGGAGUGUUGGUUAGUGCAUUCACAGGUGGUGUGCGCCGAAGCACGCACUAUUCAGCGGCUGGAUGGGUGAUUUGAGGACUCCUCUUCGGAGUGAGAAACCCGGUUGCUUGAAAGGUUGUUUGUGGUGCGUGUGCUAGUCCACGGUGCAAUCGGCUGAAUCGGCGGUUGAUGCUUACCAGGGUUUUGGUCGCAUGCGACCUUGCCUUGGCGAGUUUUGGCUGUUGUAGAGGCCCCGUGGCAAACUUCGGUGUAAGAGUCGGUCAUCUCUCCGACCCGUCUUGAAACACGGACCAAGGAGUUUAACGAGUGCGCGAGUCAUUGGGUGGUAAACUCAAAGGCGUAAUGAAAGUGAAGGCUGGCUAGACCGGCUUAUAUGUGAUCCCGGCGGUUAUGGCCAAUGGGCGCAGCAUAGCCCCGUCCCGACUGCUUGCAGUGAGGCGGAGGAAGAGCGUACUCGCUGAGACCCGAAAGAUGGUGAACUAUGCCUGAGCAGGAUGAAGCCAGAGGAAACUCUGGUGGAAGUCCGGAGCGGUUCUGACGUGCAAAUCGAUCGUCUGACUUGGGUAUAGGGGCGAAAGACUAAUCGAACCAUCUAGUAGC